UACAGAGGUGGCAAGCGUUGUUCGGAAUUACUGGGCGUAAAGGGCGCGUAGGCGGCUUGGUAAGUCCCGUGUGAAAUCUCUCGGCUCAACUGAGGAACCGCACGGGAAACUGCCUGGCUUGAGUUCGGGAGAGGGAAGCGGAAUUCCGGGUGUAGCGGUGAAAUGCGUAGAUAUCGAGAGGAACAUCGGUGGCGAAGGCGGCCUUCUGGACAGUGACUGACGCUGAUACGCGAAAGCGUGGGGAGCAAACAGG
rnacentral:rRNA from 1 species